rnacentral:tRNA from 1 species
GCAGCGGUGGUUCAGUGGUAGAAUUCUUGCCUUCCAUGAAGGAGACCUGGGUUUGAUUCCCAGUCAAUGUA